GGCUUGCCACAAGACCUGCAGCCUUAAACCCAGGGGGGUUAUUGCAGGAGAGGUGGGCUAUGUUCCUGCGUGCCUUCUGGAGUCCCGCAGCAUUUUUCUUUUUCGCUGGAGCCAUGCUGGAGUGUGAGGCCUGUAUUUGAACAAAUCUUGCUCCCGAUUUCAGUGGAUUUUCUCAUUUGAUGAUAUGUCAGCUGUAACUUCUCAACUACUGUGUGUUGCAAUGAGCUAAAUGGUGGAAUUUGUGUUGACAUCUAAUAUUACUCCCUGGCAUAAAUUCAGUGAUCCAUGAAGUCCAAGCAGUGCAGAAGCUUCUGAAACUGUAUUCGGUUGUACUUCCGAAGAGCUUGCUCAGCAAUGCCAACGCAUUACAGAAUCGAUGGGGAACAGGAAGGAGACAAGCAGGAAAACUUUGGUCACCAUCUUCAUGCUUCAUUUUCCAAGAGGACAGCUGUUAGGAAGAGCCAUACAGUUCCUGCAAAAGCCUGGCCUUCGACAGCUCAGAGAAGACAGUAAUCAAACCAAAGUGAAGGGAUGGGCAUAUGGACGCCUGGAUACCUGUCUAAUAUGGCAUCAAGAUGCAGCUGAAACUUACACCCAGACCUAAGUGUGCCAGUCCUGGCUAACUAACUUUGAUGCUCCCAUGACCUGAAUCAACAAAUAGCUUAAAGAUGGCUGCAUGGAUACUCCUCUCACUAAUUGUUUUCUACUGAUAAAUAAUGCCUGCCUCAGACAUAAUGUCUUGGGAGCUCUGGGGACUUUAGACCUUGGAAAUUUUAUGGGUCUGCUGAUCUGAGCUACUGAGGAGACUUUUGCAAAUGUACCUUCAGAUGACACACACACAGAGAGUAAAUCCCUUCAGAACCUCGCUGGUGUUUUUAAAACAGCGUGAAAGGACACGUGUCAGCGGUGCAAGGAAAUCAGGUGAAAGUUGAAGAGCUAGGCUACCCUCUUCUGAGUCAGGAUUUGUGAUUAAGGCCCUAAAUACCAAUGGUGGAAGACAUGUGGUAAGCGGGAUGGGGAGGAAAUUCAUCAUCAGACUACAUCAGGCCACAAGGACCACAGCUUUAAGGCAGCAGGCUCUUUGAAGGAACUUAGCUGAGAGAAAUGCAACAGAAACCCACCCCGGCACGAACCGGAAUAUCGCAGACCAGUUCUUUUUGUAUGGAUUUUGUCUGUGACGGAACAGUCUUUCAGAGAGCAAGUAAGCACAUAUUACAGCAAUUACUCACAGCCUCGCUGCGUGCAAAAGCUCCUGGGGUUUCACCAGAUUUGAGAGUGAGAUUUUCAGAGAGGUCUAACGCGGGCUGUGAAGAAGGAGAGGCAGGCAGGCCUUGCGGAGGGAUGGAGCGGCAUCUGGAAUCCCUGCGGACAACUGCAGGAAUGUUUAUUAUUCUUUGUUUAUUAUUUUGAGUGUGUGCUCUCUCCCUCUUCCUCUCUUUGUCUCCCUUUGUUAUUUGUGUAAUAAAAUUCCUCUAAGCAUAUAAAGUAAGUCAUCUGGAAUUGUGCAACUCCUUCUGCCAGGAACCUGGAAAAGCCCCUCUCCUGUGCAGAGAGAAAAAUACGGACUCAUCUCAACCCUUGAGAAAUUACAGAAAUACAGCAUUUGUCUUUGGGUUACAUUUAUAUAGCAGAGAGCUGUGGCAAAUAGUUGUGCUUCUUACUGUUAAAAAUUCUGCUUUUAUCCUGUCCAAGGUGUUAUGUUUAUUUAAAACCUGAGAAAUAAUUUGUACAUUCUAAAAUAAAGC